GAGUUUGAUCAUGGCUCAGAUUGAACGCUGGCGGUAGGCUUAACACAUGCAAGUCGUGCGAGAAAGUAUCUUCGGAUAUGAGUAGAGCGGCGGACGGGUGAGUAACGCGUAGGAAUCUACCUAGUAGAAGGGGAUAGCCCGGGGAAACUCGGAUUAAUACCGUAUACCUCCUUCGGGAGAAAGAGGGCCUCUCUUUGAAGCUUUCGCUACUAGAUGAGCCUGCGUAAGAUUAGCUUGUUGGCGAGGUAAAGGCUCACCAAGGCAACGAUCUUUAGCGGGUCUGAGAGGACGAUCCGCCACAUUGGGACUGAGACACGGCCCAGACUCCUACGGGAGGCAGCAGUGGGGAAUAUUGGACAAUGGGCGCAAGCCUGAUCCAGCCAUACCGCGUGUGUGAAGAAGGCCCUAGGGUUGUAAAGCACUUUAAGUUGGGAAGAAAAGUUAUUGGUUAAUACCCAAUAACCGUGACAUUACCUUCAGAAUAAGGACCGGCUAAUUCCGUGCCAGCAGCCGCGGUAAUACGGAAGGUCCAAGCGUUAAUCGGAAUUACUGGGCGUAAAGCGCGCGUAGGUGGUUUAUUAAGUUGGAUGUGAAAUCCCCGGGCUCAACCUGGGAACUGCAUCCAAAACUGAUUCACUAGAGUACGAUAGAGGGAGGUAGAAUUCACAGUGUAGCGGUGGAAUGCGUAGAUAUUGUGAAGAAUACCAAUGGCGAAGGCAGCCUCCUGGAUCUGUACUGACACUAAGGUGCGAAAGCGUGGGUAGCGAACAGGAUUAGAUACCCUGGGUAGUCCACGCCGUAAACGAUGUCAACUAGCUGUUGGGAAACAAUGUUUUUCAGUGGCGCAGCUAACGUAGUA
rnacentral:rRNA from 1 species